AGAUUUCACUGAUCAUGUGUGGACAGAAUGGUUUUCAAACUUGUACGGGAGAUGGAUGCACCUAGAUCCGUGCGAAGGAGUCUAUGAUAAUCCCCUACUGUAUGAGAAAGGGUGGAACAAGAAGUUGGAUUAUGUUAUUGCGACUUCGAAAGAUGGAGUACGUGAUGUUACAAAACGCUACACAAGAAAGUGGCAUGAGGUUCUUUCUAGGCGAACAAUUACCUCA